UCUCUGUUUGUAUAGUGGCUAGUACGUCAGCCUGUCACGCUGGAGACCCGGGUUCAAUUCCCGGACAGAGAG
rnacentral:tRNA from 27 species